rnacentral:rRNA from 1 species
UACGUAGGGUGCAAGCGUUGUCCGGAAUCACUGGGCGUAAAGGGCGCGUAGGUGGCUGGGUAAGCGUGUGGUGAAAGCCCGGGGCUCAACCCCGGGUCGGCCAUGCGAACUGCCCGGCUGGAGCACGGUAGAGGCCAAUGGAAUUCCGGGUGUAGCGGUGGAAUGCGUAGAGAUCCGGAAGAACACCGGUGGCGAAGGCGGUUGGCUGGGCCGUGGCUGACACUGAGGCGCGACAGCGUGGGGAGCAAACAGGG